rnacentral:sRNA from 1 species
AAGUGCGCAGGCUCCUGGGCAGGGCUUGGGUUCUGCCCGGGGACGCAGCCCAGUUAGUAGCGUCGCUCCCUGAGCGCUUCUAAGGGGGCCGCCCGGCCUUGUCUUUCGGCAGUGGCCGAGCCACCGCCGCCUGCCGCGCGUUCCAGAGCUGGGCGCUGCAGCUGCACUGCCGAUCGCCGUGUUUGGUCGAUAGAAUCCCCAGUGUGCCCAGAGAGUGCGACCCCUCGCCCGGCCCGGCGAGCCCUGGGCGUGAACCGAGCUGAGGGAGGAUGGCAGCCUCUGGGGUGGAGAAGAGCAGCAAGAAGAAGACCGAGAAGAAACUUGCUGCUCGGGAAGAAGCUAAAUUGUUGGCGGGUUUCAUGGGCGUCAUGAAUAACAUGCGGAAACAGGUAUAAGUGUGCUAGCGGAGUGUCUAGAUUGUCCUGAAUUGAAAGCAACUGCAGAUGACUUUAUUCAUCAGCAUUUUACUGAAGUUUACAAAACUGAUGAAUUUCUUCAACUUGAUGUCAAGCGAGUAACACAUCUUCUCAACCAGGACACUCUGACUGUGAGAGCAGAGGAUCAGGUUUAUGAUGCUGCAGUCAGGUGGUUGAAAUACGAUGAACCUAAUCGCCAG